GACGAACGCUGGCGGCGUGCCUAAUACAUGCAAGUAGGCCGCAGUUGCGAACGGGUGAGUAACGCGUAGGUAACUACCUAUUAGAGGGGAAUAACUAUUGGAAACGAUAGCUAAUACCGCAUACUAGUAGAUGGACCUUCGUUGUAUUUGCUAGUAGGUAGGGGAAUGGCCUACCUAGGCAACGCUACAUAACCGACCUGAGAGGGUGGAGGGCCACACGGGGACUGAGAAACGGCCCAGGCUCCUACGGGAGGCAGCAGUAGGGAAUCUUCGGCAAUGGGGGGAACCCUGACCGAGCAAAGCCGCGGGAGGUAAGGAGGUUUUCGGAUCGUAAAGCUCUGUGGUGAAGGAAGCGGUACUUAACCAGAAAGGGACGGCUAACUACGUGCCAGCAGCCGCGGUAAUUC
rnacentral:rRNA from 1 species